rnacentral:rRNA from 1 species
UUGCGCCUACGGGAGGCAGCAGUGAGGAAUAUUGGUCAAUGGACGCAAGUCUGAACCAGCCAUGCCGCGUGCAGGAUGACGGCUCUAUGAGUUGUACACUGCUUUUGUACGAGGGUAAACCCCGAUACGUGUAUCGGGUUGAAAGUAUCGUACGAAUAAGGAUCGGCUAACUCCGUGCCAGCAGCCGCGGUAAUACGGAGGAUCCGAGCGUUAUCCGGAUUUAUUGGGUUUAAAGGGUGCGUAGGCGGUUUGAUAAGUUAGAGGUGAAAUGUCGGGGCACAACCCUGAAACUGCCUCGAAUACUG